rnacentral:rRNA from 1 species
UACGUAGGGGGCUAGCGUUGUCCGGAUUUAUUGGGCGUAAAGAGCGUGUAGGCGGCCAGGCAGGUCUGCUGUGAAAACUCGAGGCUUAACCUCGAGACGUCGGCGGAAACCAUCUGGCUAGAGUCCGGAAGAGGAGAGUGGAAUUCCUGGUGUAGCGGUGAAAUGCGCAGAUAUCAGGAAGAACACCCGUGGCGAAGGCGGCUCUCUGGGACGGGACUGACGCUGAGACGCGAAAGCGUGGGGAGCGAACAGG